AUUGAACGCUGGCGGCAUGCUUUACACAUGCAAGUCGAACGGUAACAGGGACUUCGGUCUGCUGACGAGUGGCGAACGGGUGAGUAACAUAUCGGAGCGUGCCCAGUAAAGUGGGGGAUAGCUCGGCGAAAGCCGGAUUAAUACCGCAUACGCCCUGGAGGGGGAAAGUGGGGGAUCUUCGGACCUCACGUUAUUGGAGCGGCCGAUAUCAGAUUAGCUAGUUGGUGGGGUAAAGGCCUACCAAGGCGACGAUCUGUAGCUGGUCUGAGAGGAUGAUCAGCCACACUGGAACUGAGACACGGUCCAGACUCCUACGGGAGGCAGCAGUGGGGAAUAUGCGCAAUGGCGAAAGCCUGACGCAGCAACGCCGCGUGGUGAAGAAGGUCUUCGGAUCGUAAAGACCUGUCAGGAGGGACGAAACAAAUGACGGUACCUCCAAAGGAAGACACUGGCUAACUCCGUGCCAGCAGCCGCGGUAAUGUGACU
rnacentral:rRNA from 1 species